rnacentral:rRNA from 1 species
UACGUAGGUGGCAAGCGUUGUCCGGAAUUAUUGGGCGUAAAGCGCGCGCAGGCGGUCCUUUAAGUCUGAUGUGAAAGCCCACGGCUCAACCAUGGAGGGUCAUUGGAAACUGGGGGACUUGAGUGCAGGAGAGAAGAGUGGAAUUCCACGUGUAGCGGUGAAAUGCGUAGAGAUGGGGAGGAACACCAGUGGCGAAGGCGACUCUUUGGCCUGUAACUGACGUUGAGGCGCGAAAGCGUGGGGAGCAAACAGG